rnacentral:rRNA from 1 species
CNNACCNCNCGCANCCNUUCCCAUUAGUUGCUACAUUUAGUUGANCNCUCUAAUGGGACUGCCGGUGACAAACCGGAGGAAGGUGGGGAUGACGUCAAGUCCUCAUGGCCCUUAUAGGUGGGGCUACACACGUCAUACAAUGGCUGGUACAAAGGGUUGCCAACCCGCGAGGGGGAGCUAAUCCCAUAAAGCCAGUCGUAGUCCGGAUCGCAGUCUGCAACUCGACUGCGNGAA